GGUUGCGAUCAUACGAGCACUAAUGCACUGGAUCCCAUCAGAACUCCGCAGUUAAGCGUGCUUGGGCGAGAGUGGUACUAGGAUGGGUGACCCCCUGGGAAGUCCUCGUGUUGCAACCC
rnacentral:rRNA from 1 species